AACAAGGAUUACCAGAAAGUUCCCUUCAACAAUAGGGUCCAAGUUACAAUUCCUCAAGGAGGGGAGCUGGGUCAUUCCACAUCACUAGGAGACCCCUAUACUUCCUAAGCAAACCUAAGAUUCACCUUGGAGAAUGAGGAGCUGUUAUAUCUGUUCUAGGCUACAUCCACCAGGCCCGAGUCAGAACAUGCAGUUCAUCUAUGUUCAAACCCAAUUGAGAAAUCCUAAGAGGAGAAAGCGCACUUUCAGUGUGCAUGGGUUGCUUCUCGGCAUGUAUUUGGUCACAACAAUAAGAAAAGCCAUUAACACACCAACCAGCAUUGCAGAAGGAACAGAUGGAUGAAGAAGUAACUAAAUGGAGGGAAAGCCGGGCCAUGAAGGUUCCAUCUCAAUCCUCCAAGUCCCCUAUUCAAAGAGAAGGGCAAGUCCCAAGCCACGUGGUACCAGCUCUGAACCCAGGCUCCAAGCCAGGACUGGCACCUCUGAUCAGGGAGUGGAGGGAAGCAGGUGGCCUCUCCAGGUGCCCCUGAGACUGGGAAACCCCACUUGCCCUGGGUUCGCCUGAGGCACUCCUUCUAGAAGACUGCCACACAGGCAACAAAGCUGAAGGCAAACAACUGGUUGCAUCCUCCAAGCUUGCGUAGACCAAGCAGGUCUCUAAGGUGUCCCCAGGGCUGCCGAAGAAAGACCUGCCUCAGCAUCAGAAGGCCGGGUUCAAACUGCUCUUCUGCUACCUGCCAGCUGUGAGACCUUAGAAAAAAUAUUUAUCAACUCUCAGACACGCCGCCCCACUGGGCAAGGUAGCCAUGUCGCUGUGAGGACACCAGUACAGAGACAGAAAGAUCCAGUAACAGCAGAUGCUCAAUAAAUGUUCUUUUUUAAU